rnacentral:rRNA from 1 species
CGUGGAGCGAUUUGUCUGGUUUAUUCCGAUAACGAGCGAGACUCUAGCCUACUAAAUAGUUCACACAUUGCUUCUGUGUGUGCAACUUCUUAGAGGGAUUUUCGGUGUUUAGCCGCACGAGAUUGAGCAAUAACAGGUCUGUGAUGCCCUUAGAUGUCCGGGGCUGCACGCGCGCUACACUGGCGAAAUCAGCGUGCUUGUCCUUUCUCGAAAGAGAUUGGUAAACCAUUGAAAAUUUGCCGUGAUUGGGAUCGGAAAUUGCAAUUAUUUUCCGUGAACGAGGAAUUCCAAGUAAGUGCGAGUCAUCAACUCGCGUUGAU